GUGCCUGUAGCUCAGCUGGAUAGAGCAACUGCCUUCUAAGCAGUAGGUCGUGGGUUCGAGUCCCGCCGGGCACAC
rnacentral:tRNA from 15 species